rnacentral:rRNA from 1 species
UACGGAGGGGGCUAGCGUUGUUCGGAAUUACUGGGCGUAAAGGGCUCGUAGGCGGCCAACUAAGUCAGACGUGAAAUCCCCAGGCUCAACCUGGGAACUGCGUCUGAUACUGGUUGGCUUGAAUCCGGGAGAGGGAUGCAGAAUUCCAGGUGUAGCGGUGAAAUGCGUAGAUAUCUGGAGGAAUACCGGUGGCGAAGGCGGCAUCCUGGACCGGCAUUGACGCUGAGGAGCGAAAGCUAGGGGAGCAAACGGG